AUGUCGUCGAUGAUGCAACCGCAGAUCAUCCUGCUCAAGGAGGGGACGGACACGUCGCAGGGCCGCGCGCAGGUGGUCAGCAACAUCAGCGCGUGCACGGCGGUGGCCGACACGGUGCGGACCACCCUGGGGCCCCGCGGGAUGGACAAGCUCAUCCACGACGACAAGGGCACCACCAUCUCCAACGACGGCGCCACCAUCAUGCGCCUCCUCGACAUCGUGCACCCCGCCGCCAAGAUCCUCGUCGACAUCGCCAAGUCUCAGGACUCCGAGGUUGGUGAUGGCACAACUACAGUGGUGCUUCUUGCUGCAGAAUUCAUGAAGGAAGCUAAACCUUACGUGGAGGAUGGAGUGCAUUGUCAUAAUAUAAUCCGUAGUUAUAGGAGCGCUGGCAACAUGGCGAUUGAAAGGGUUAAAGAGCUGGCAGUCAGCAUAGAAGGAAAAAGCCUGGAAGAAAAGAAAUCAUUGUUAGCAAAGUGUGCUGCCACAACACUCUCGUCAAAAUUGAUAAGCGGAGAGAAAGAGUUCUUUGCUUCUAUGGUUGUGGAUGCUGUCCUUGCUAUUGGUCAUGAUGACAGACUUAACCUUAUUGGAAUUAAGAAGGUUCCUGGAGGUACCAUGAGAGAUUCCUUCCUUGUCAAUGGCGUUGCUUUCAAGAAGACAUUUUCCUAUGCUGGAUUUGAGCAACAACCAAAGAAAUUCCUGAAUCCAAAGAUUCUUUUGUUGAACAUUGAGCUAGAGUUGAAGUCUGAGAAAGAAAACGCAGAGAUCAGAUUAUCAGACCCUCUGCAGUACCAAUCAAUUGUUGAUGCUGAAUGGAACAUUAUUUAUGACAAGCUGGACAAGUGUGUUCAAAGUGGCGCAAAAAUAGUUCUGUCGCGGCUAGCUAUCGGUGAUCUUGCAACACAGUAUUUCGCGGAUAGAGACAUUUUCUGUGCUGGUCGGGUCACAGAAGAGGAUUUACAACGCCUGAGCUCAGCUACAGGUGGAACUGUUCAAACCUCUGUCAACAAUGUCAUUGAUGAGGUCCUUGGCACAUGUGAGAUUUUUGAGGAAAAGCAAGUAGGCAAUGAAAGGUUUAACAUAUUUAGUGGCUGCCCUUCUGGUCAGACAGCAACUAUUGUUCUUCGUGGUGGUGCUGACCAGUUCAUAGAGGAAGCUGAAAGAAGUCUCCAUGAUGCCAUCAUGAUUGUGAGGAGAGCUGUUAGGAAUUCAACAGUCGUGCCUGGUGGUGGUGCCAUUGAUAUGGAGAUAAGCAAGCAUCUCCGCCUGCAUGCACGGAGCAUAGCUGGAAAGUCUCAGGUUUUUGUAAACUCAUUUGCUAAAGCCCUUGAGGUUAUUCCUAGGCAACUUUGUGAUAAUGCUGGAUUUGACGCAACUGAUGUGCUCAAUAAGCUCAGACAGAAGCAUGCAGCUGAUGGUGGUGCUAAUUAUGGUGUUGACAUCAACACUGGUGGAAUUGCGGAUUCCUUCGCUAACUUUGUGUGGGAACCUGCAGUCGUGAAGAUCAAUGCAAUUAAUGCCGCGACCGAAGCUGCCUGCCUUAUUCUGAGUGUUGACGAAACAGUGAAAAACCCAAAGUCGGAGAGUGCGCAAGGUGACGCUGCUGCGAUGGGUGGCCGUGGUGGAGGGGGAAUGCGUGGUCGAGGCGGCAGGGGAAUGCGCAGGCGGUAA
rnacentral:rRNA from 1 species